rnacentral:rRNA from 1 species
CAAUAGCGUAUAUUAAAGUUGUUGCGGUUAAAAAGCUCGUAGUUGGAUUUCUGCCGAGGACGACCGGUCCGCCCUCUGGGUGAGUAUCUGGCUCGGCCUGGGCAUCUUCUUGGAGAACGUAGCUGCACUUGACUGUGUGGUGCGGUAUCCAGGACUUUUACUUUGAGGAAAUUAGAGUGUUUCAAGCAGGCUUACGCCUUGAAUACAUUAGCAUGGAAUAAUAAGAUAGGACCUCGGUUCUAUUUUGUUGGUUUCUAGAGCUGAGGUAAUGAUUAAUAGGGAUAGUUGGGGGCAUUCGUAUUUAACUGUCAGAGUUGAAAUUCUUGGAUUUGUUAAAGACGGACUACUGCGAAAGCAUUUGCCAAGGAUGUUUUCAUUGA